rnacentral:piRNA from 2 species
UAAAGUCAUGUUGUGCUAAAGGGA